UACGUAGGGGGCUAGCGUUGUCCGGAAUCAUUGGGCGUAAAGCGCGUGUAGGCGGCCAUCUAAGUCGGGCGUGAAAUCCCACGGCUCAACCGUGGAAGUGCACUCGAAACUGGAUGGCUAGAGUCCUGGAGAGGAAGGUGGAAUGCUUGGUGUAGAGGUGAAAUUCGUAGAUAUCAAGCGGAACACCGGUGGCGAAGGCGGCCUUCUGGACAGUGACUGACGCUGAGACGCGAAAGCGUGGGGAGCAAACAGGG
rnacentral:rRNA from 1 species